rnacentral:lncRNA from 1 species
CUUGGAAUUCUCCCUCUCAGGAAACUAACAGCCUGCUAUGAAGCCCAAGCCACAAAGAGAGGCCAAGGGGAAAUAAACAGAGUGUGAUUAUAUGCAAAACCUGCAAGAAUGAGGACCUCCAAACUCAGUGUACAGAGUGAUUUUCUGCUGAAACAAUUGGCUUUUAAAAAAUUGUGUGACUGACCAGCAGCAGUGGCUCACAUCUGUAAUCCCAGCACUUUGGGAGGCCGAGAAAAUAAAAGAGAUAUCAGUGUGUGAAUGACGACUUUCUGUUGCUGACUUGGAAGACAGAGGAAUUGGGUCAUGAGCCAAGGAAGGUGGGCAGCUUCUAAAAGGCGGAAAAGAACUGAAUUGAAUUCAAAUCAAAAAAGGUCUGAACCUCAUUUAAAAGAUGGUUUUGUAACUGAAGAAUUGAAAGGAUUUCUUUAUGAACUAGCAUCAUCUUAAGACAAAGGAUAAGGACCCUGAAGACAGCAUGAUAGUGAAUCCCAGAGGUGCUCUCCAAAAUGGUGCUAAUACAGCCAAGAAUACAGGUAUGAGAAAGGAUAUGGAAGGGUGCCUUACAGGAGAAAGCACCACUUAUCCACCAAGAUGGCAGAGGCCUUCUUUUCUGACCUGUGGUACAAAAAAAAAGCAGAGACAAUAGGCAAAAAAGAGCACACGAGAAGAAACAUAGAAUGAAAGAAAAGAGAGGGACAAAGAGAAGAAAAAUAAGAUCACAUGAAGGUGAUAAUACAAUUUUAUAUCGAACACGGCAAUUUGCAAUCCACAAGCUGAUCUAAUAUUUAAUGUUUAAGAAAUCCAGGCUGUGUAAAUAAAUUUUGGAAAUGAGAACUCUCCAAGAGCAGACUCAAGGUGAUCUGGGCUGGAUCUUACUCCUUCCAUGUCUCAGGUGGCCUUCCUUUUGUGCCCCAGGAGGACAACAUUGUCAAAUAAAGUUUAGCCUAAAGCUGACUCCUUACUUAUUUUAAGUUCAGCCAAAGAUUUAUCUGUACAUCAUGAACUAUAGCCUAAAUGGAAGUAUAAACAGGCUACAAUCUACUCUUGUGCCAAUCACUGAGUUUUGGCCAAUCGAUUGCAGUCAACAGUUCAAAUCAUGUUUGAAUAAGACAAAUGCCGAGCUGUUACCAAUCUGGCUGUUUCUGUACCUCACUUAUGUUUUGUGUAUGUCACUUUAUUUUUUCUGUCCAUAAAUCCUCUUCCACCAUGCAGCUGCGCUGCAGUCUCUGAGCCUACUCUGGCUCCGGAUGCGGCCCGAUAGGCGAAUUGUUCUUUGCUCAAUUAAAUUCUUAAAUGUAAUAUGGCUGAAGUUUUUCCUUUAACAGUGUACAACUGUGAAGUGGUUUUAUCAGGCAUCAUAGGUGGAGAAAUAGUAGACCAGAAGUGCAAGAGGCAUAUGCAACACCAUUCCCUGCUGUACCAGUAUUAUCCAGUGACACCUUAUCUGGUUAUUAACCAAAGCUGCUUUGGCAUAAUUCCAGUGGCUGAAGUGAGAGGAAGCGAGGAUAUGGCUGACAUUCUCCAAGAAGCAGUGACUUCAGAAGAUGAUUGGCAUCUUGAACUUCAGGAAAAUGCUUGGCUUUUUUAACUCUGAAAGUCUGUUUGAAACUCAUAAGAAGAAAAUUAGGUGAAUACAAAACUGCUGCCAAACUUAGAAACUUGGUUAAAUAUCCUGCAGAAAAUAUCAUGGGCUUUUCAGAGUCCAGUUAAAUAUCUACAGAUUAUAUUUCCAGUUUAAUACCUGGGGCAUUAACUCUAUUCAUUUUACUAGCUUUAGUGAAUUUUACUUCUGUAGCAUAACAUUGCAUUGAAAAUGUGUCCUCUAACCUAUGAUAUUUAUGUAUCAUUUAAUAUGAAAUUUAUGAGGUUCCAUUUCUGAUUUCCAAAUGGAUGCAAAUUAGAACACAGGAUAUUUACAUUCUUUCAUUUCUAACCCACAUACAUAAAGUUUGACUUUAAAAUGCCA